rnacentral:rRNA from 1 species
GCGCGAAAACUCUACAAUGCAGGCAACUGCGAUAGGGGAACAUCGAGUGAUACUCAUAUUGGGUGUCUGUCCUUCCGUCUAAAAAACGGGAGUUAGCAAGGGCCGGGCAAGACCGGUGCCAGCCGCCGCGGUAAUACCGGCGGCUCGAGUGGUGGCCGAUAUUAUUGAGUCUAAAGGGUCCGUAGCCGGCUUGGCAAGUCUCUUGGGAAAUCCAGCGGCUUAACCGUUGGUCGUCCGGGAGAUACUACCUUGCUUGGGACUGGGAGAGGCGUGAGGUACUCAGGGGGUAGGA